UUUCCAGACUCCUACGGGAGGCAGCAGUGGGGAAUAUUGCACAAUGGGGGAAACCCUGAUGCAGCAACGCCGCGUGAGUGAAGAAGUAUUUCGGUAUGUAAAGCUCUAUCAGCAGGGAAGAAAAUGACGGUACCUGAGUAAGAAGCCCCGGCUAACUACGUGCCAGCAGCCGCGGUAAUACGUAGGGGGCAAGCGUUAUCCGGAUUUACCGGGUGUAAAGGGAGCGUAGACGGCGAUACAAGUCUGAAGUGGAAGCCCGGGGCUCAACCCCGGGACUGCUUUGGAAACUGUGUUGCUGGAGUGCUGGAGAGGCAAGCGGAAUUCCUAGUGUAGCGGUGAAAUGCGUAGAUAUUAGGAAGAACACCAGUGGCGAAGGCGGCCUGCUGGACUGCAACUGACGUUGAGGCCCGAAAGCGUGGGGAGCAAACAGGAUUAGAUACCCCGGUA
rnacentral:rRNA from 1 species